rnacentral:tRNA from 1 species
GUUCUUAUAGUUGAAUAACAACGGUGGUUUUUCAAGUCACUGGUCCUGGUUAAAAUCCUGGUAGGAACU